rnacentral:rRNA from 1 species
UACGUAGGUGACAAGCGUUGUCCGGAUUUACUGGGCGUAAAGAGCGCGUAGGCGGUCCGAUAAGUCGGCUGUGAAAGUCAGGGGCUCAACCCUUGAAAGCCGGCCGAUACUGUCGGACUAGAGUUCGGAAGAGGCGAGUGGAAUUCCAGGUGUAGCGGUGAAAUGCGUAGAUAUCUGGAGGAAUACCGGUGGCGAAGGCGGCAUCCUGGACCAUUACUGACGCUUAAGCGCGAAAGCUAGGGGAGCAAACGGG